AAUAUAUAUAUAUAUAUUUAAAUUUUCCUCUUAUCUUUUAUCACAAAUUUUCCUAACCUAACCUAACAAAAGCAAUGCUUCCAAUUCCAGAUCUACAUCCAUCAAACUAUCACAACGUUAUGAUAGACAUUUCACUGCAUAUGCGCGUUUGCAUUCCAAUGAAACGAUAGUAAAAAAAUUUUAUGAUAUUUACAACACUACUCAGUUUAAGCUUGAAUGGGAAGAAAUAGCGUAGAACUGCAAACUUCCGCUGCUUUCAAUUCGGCUCGAAUCACGCGAAUCAGUGAUUCGUGGGCCCAUUUCUGUGGCAAACUCGUGAAAUUUGCUCCAGAUUCGUGUCACGUACCGUAGAAAUUGUUUCAUAACCACGUUUGAAAUAAUUGAUUUUAAAAAGCGAAACGAUGGUAAUACAGACAGAACUAUUGCACUCUAUCUCAUUUUUGUUUUAUUUAAUGCAAAUUUCAAUUGAUUGAAUUGAAACAUCAAAAAGAAAAUUAAGAAAUAUAUAAAUCUAUUUAAAUGAUUCAUUUCCAAAGGGAGUGUUGAAUAUCUUAUCCUAAUUCUAAGUAGAAAAUAUUGAAAAAUUGUUUUUUAUUUUUGAAAAUUGUAAUUCUUAUUAAAUCAUAAGAAGAACGACAAAAAAUUUUGAUUAAGUGAUAUAUGUAGGAUUUUAAAUUCAAUUAUAUGAAAAGGAAUGAAGAGAAGAAUUAUGAUUUGAAUCAACUUUAUUUUUGGACAGUCGUUCGUGCAUCGAUCGAAUCCUCUUUAAAACAUGGCAUCCCGAAAGGGUUGAUUUUUAUGGGGGAUGAAAAGGAAGAAGAGAGGUCCUUCACUCUACAGACCGAUGAUAUUAUUUUCACUGCCACUCCCCGUUGCAUGGCUCGUAUGGAUCAAUAACCGAGAAGACCACUGUGAUUCGAAACUCUUUAAUUAAUUACUGAUUACAGAGAAAGAUAAGAGAAAUUAAUUAAAGAAGGAAUAAUAAAUUAAAGAACCGUUUAAUUAGAAUGAAGGAACUGUUGCAAGAGACUUUAUUUUCUGAGGCAAACAAGACAAUACACUUUCUCGAAACCAACGAUCCCUCGUUCCAACCAUUCUCGUGGCCGUGUAUGAAACUUUAAAGAUAUAUAAAUUAUUUCAACCGGUGUACUUGUGGAAACGAUCACCUUUCAGUCGCCAGUAACCAUUGCAUUUUCGUUGGAAAAAUAAAAAAGGUAAUGAUAAUACUCGUAUCUUAUCAGAAACGUGUUUGCAAUUCGUUAUACAUCAUAUUCCGUUUCAAAUUAGAAAAUUAAAAUUGUUAACAAUUCGUAGGAUCAAUUGCAAUUUACAGAUUUUGCUUUUCGAAUAAAUUACAAAUAUUUUCGAAAUAAUAAAAUUUUACUUCGUACGUAACGUUUGAAUAGAGGAAUUUAGCAUGGGUUGAAAGUGAUGUAUUAUAUUCCAAUCAUCAAAUGCCAUUAAUUCAAAAGAAUUAGAAAAUUAUCAUUUUCAAUAAUGGAUGGAUUGGUCCAUCAAAAUUUUUGUACGAAAGGAUUGAGAACCACGGGUAUAGAGUACAAAUUAGUUACUACACGUAUUUUAAAUGAAGCAUUAGUGUUGCCAAAUAAAGCACAGUGUUCUAACUUGGGUGCUCGUUUGAGCACAGAUAGAAGAAAUUGGAUCUAAAAUUAGAUUUCAAAUACAAUGCCAUAAAUUAUUUCUCUGACCAUUCUCUGACUAUUUAUCUAAACACAUUUUAAACUUUAAUUCUUAAUAGUUCUUAGACCAUUAUCUUUUUUUGAUUUUCAAGUUAAUUUAUCUAUCUUUUAUAAUUUGACAUUGACUAUUACAAAUUAAAUUUCAAAUAUUCUAAUUCUGUGCAUAUAUAACAACUGAUCUUAUUUUCAAUUUGUAUGAGAAUAAAAAAUAUUUAUUUAUAUUUUAGUUCAAUAGUUAAAUAAAGAAAGAUAUUACGUUUUUAUUUUUAAAUUAUAAAUUGAGGAAUUAAGAAAAAUUGAGAAAUAAUAGAAAAUAUGGAAUUAAUUCAAAAAAUUUUACGAUCCAUCAUUGUGAUUUACAUAAAGUUUAAUGAAGCGUAUAUUGAACGGUAUUAGGCAUUUAAAGUUGUACGGUUAAAAGAUUCAGUAUAAAAGGAGUAAUUUUUGCCGACCUGAAUAAUAAGUUUUAAAUAAGUCGUUCAGAAAAUGGAAGAUCAGAAUUUCAAUUUCUUACUUCAGCAAUUUUCGAUUGAUUCACUUUUUUUCAUUUCCAAUAUUCUGGAGAGAAGAAUAAUGUCAAAUUUAAUUUUAACGAGUCAGUGAAAUUUUGAUGAGAUUUCUAUUAAGAUUGAAAUUAGAUCUUUUGUAAGAUAUGAUUUAGUCAUAAUUUUAUUAUUAGUAUUGAUUUUAUAAGUAAUAAAAUAUAUAUAAAAAUAUAUAUUAAAUUGAAAUCUGUGUUAAAAAUUAAAAUGAAUGGAUUAAUUCUUCAUUGUUCAGCUUUUUAGGUCUUAAUUAAAUUCUACUGGAAAAUUAAUUCAUUUUCCAUUUCUUUUUCAAUUACUUUCAAAUCUAUCCUACAUCUUCAUCCAAAUAUAAAUUUCUUUACUUUAAUACUAUUCAUUUGUUACUGAUUAUUUAUUCAAUUCUUAUAUUAUGUUAUUUAUUUGAAUUUUCAAUAGAAAUUUUAUUUAUAAGUAUAUAUAGGAAUAAAUAAUAAUUCUUUUAAUUUCAUAUCAACAUAUAUUUCAUAUUUUCCAGUCACUUGUUUUCACUUAAUUUGUCACACUUUCUUAAAAUCAUUAUCGUUUGCACGAAAAGUUUAUUCACAUGCUAAAAGAGAACUUACUUCUGUAAGUUCACUCACCUUCCCAUUAUCUAAUCUUUGACAUUUACCUCUUUUCAUGAAUAUCUUCAAUUUCUUUACUUCAUUUUUUAAACUAUCUUCAAAACUGACAUAUCUUCCUAUAAUUCUAAAAAAAAAACUACCUUCUCAUCCUUGUAAUUAUUCGCUUAAAAUUAACAACAGUUAUAUCGCAUACAAUUAUAAAAUUGUGCUAGUCAGAAAAGAACAAGGUAUAUACAUUGGUAAAGACGUUCCUCUGCACGCUUAAAUGUGAUCAGUUUCACUGUAAGGCAAUUAAACACAACGGUUAAAUAGAAAUUAAGUUUCUGUAACAUCACUUCCUGGCAUAUUCUUCUGCUCUACUAAUUUGUCGGCAAGAUGGUGGCGAACAAUACAAUUUCACUUUGCACACCAGAGUUGCAGGAGGACAUUUUAUUUUAUCAGAUCAUUGUACAAAAUUAUUCGAGAAGGAAUAAGAUGGAAAUGAAAAAAUGCGUUUGAAGCUUUUCUUUAAUUAACAAAAAUAUCACGAGCAAUCAUUUUCAUUGAUGAACAAUAUGAUUAAACAAUUUUUCGUGAUUUUUUGAAAGAAAAAAAAAUCAAGGAUAAAAAAAAUUAAUCAACCAUUUUAUAUACUAUUUUUUUUUGUCAUUGUAAUGGAAUUAGAAAUUUAUAUUUUAUUGAAUUAUUCAUAAAGUUAGAAUAAUACAUAUUUGAAGUGUUUUUUCCUUAUAAAAAGUCUAUACUUUGUAUUUUCAAUUUAUUCUUCUUCCAUAUUCUUACUCUCUUGUCAUCAUUCUCACUCAUAAAAAUCUGCAUCAUUCGUUACGUCCAAAUACAACAAAAAUCUUUCCCAAUUUUUCUCUCUUCGUACUCUUACAAAUUCAAUGAAAAAGAUAUUGUUGAAUUACAUUUAUCAUCAGUUACUCUUCCGUAAAAUGGCAAUAGCUCGUGAGAAUUGCGACACGCGUUCGAAUUCAAUACCGAGCAAACCGGUCGCAAUGUUACUCACUUACGUACGAAUAUUCCACGAGUUUUUCAUACGGUGCACAGGCGCAUGCGCGCGCGCAUUAACUCGUAAACGGAGAACGUACGCGCGUGAAACACACGGUGCGUUGCUGGAACGCGCGAAAUUAUGCCGAGCACGCUUGGCAUAGCGAAAAGUUUCGAUGAACUAUCCACGAUUGGAUACUGUGAGCUGAAAACAUAGAUACAGUUUGUCGCAAAAGUAUCACUGUGUAUUUUACGAAAGAUUGUGUAUAAAUAAAAAAAGGAACUAGAUUCCUACUAGAUAAUCGUGAAAAGAAGGAAAUGGAGGGUAUAAUUUUUUAGAGACCUAACCUAACUAUAUUAUUUGAAGACGAAAUAGAAAUAUUUUAUUAUAAUAUCGUAUUGAUAAAUAAUAUAUUUAUUUGUUGUAUUAAAGAAUCGAGUUUAAAAGUUUGCCAAUUAUUAUUAGAAUAAAUAAUUGACAAAAGGUACUUGCGAAAAGAAGUAGAAAAUAUAGAAUGAAAUUUGUCGAUUUGAAAGAAUAGUUUUCGAGGAAUCUGAACGUUCUUGAAAAAUGCGCUAGCUAAUAAUGAGUCUUCGCUUUAUAUGUUCAAUUUCAAUUUUCUAAAUAAAAAAAUUGUAUUCUACAUUUUUUUCUUAUUUUUAAAUAAUUUUCUGUUAAUAAUUCGAAAUAAAUUAUGUUAAUAACUAUAUAAAAUAAGAAAAAAUACAAAAACAAUUGAAAAACAAGUUUUUGAUCUAGAAUUUAUUUUUAAAGAAAUUAAAGUACUUAAAAAAGUACUUACAUUAAAAAGCACUAAGAGUCUUUAUAAUUUAAAAAUUUUGUAAAAUUACACGAAUUAGUUUUAAUCUAAGACACUUUAGAAUGACUCUACAUUACCAAACGAUAAGAUAGGUCUCAACGAGCGUUUUACUCUGCCAUUUUUCCAUAUUAAUUCCGUACACGUUUCACGGCUUAGUGCAUUGUACACAAAUAUUUUUAUUUUAAAUCAUUCUCGAGAGAUAUCUUUUUUUUUUACACGUCAACUCUACACAUUAGUCGAGAUUUUCAUUCGUUGCAGGAAAUUCAGACGCACGUGUUUCCGUUGCUCAAUUUUCUAUACAUUUCCUGCGAAAGAAGUUAAUGUUUUGUCGUUGAUUAAAUACUUUAUUUAAAAACUUUGUUUUAGAAUUUAAUUUUUAAUAUACUAGAUUAAUCUAAAAUCUAUAAUUUUGGUAUUAAAAAAUAAUUUAUCGAUAAUACAAUAUUUUAUAUUAAACAUAUUAUAAAACUAAAGAAAAAAAAAAUCUUCCUAAAAUUUUCGUAUUAUACGAUACUCCACAUAUGAGCAAUAUGAAUAUUAAAAUAAAUCUAUUUCUAAAUCUAUUUUUUUUAUUAUCAAAUUAAUCCAAUAUUUGGACAAUAUUUUUCAUUAAAUAUAUACAAAUUAAAAAACCGAGGAAAAUUUAUAUACAACACCUUCGUAUUAUACGAUACUAUAAAUAUUCAAAAAUCCCCGAGUCAAAAAUAAAUCGUAAAAUAACUCGAUCACUGGAAACAUGAAAAAAAAAAAAUUAAUAUGCAAAAUAUGAUAUUUUCCAACAGCAAAAAUUCAAGCAUUAUAAAUGAUACUGCCCUUUUAAUUACAUAAUGAUGAAAAUGAAAAGUGGCAACGAUCAAUAAGCGGAUUAGGUCAUAAUUUAUCGCCAUACGGAAUACAGAACUAGACAUGGUGUUUUUUAACGAUGUUAGUUGGAAAGUCGAUAGACACAGCUGGUAUACCGGUACCGACAUUUUGAAAUGCGUGUCACCUUUUUGCGUGAUCGAGAAAACGGUACUCGAUUUGACGAGCUCCAACAUUCUAAUUUUUCCACCGCUUUUUUUCUUCCAUUUUCUUCUAAUGUGCACACGACGAUCGGACGUUUUCCAUUCCACGCUACGUUCAAAUUACACUGCACUACUUUGCGUCGAUUCAUUUUUUUUAAUAGUAGAACGAACAAAAUUGAUUGAAAAAAAUUUUCGCUCGAACCGAGAUGAUAAAUUUUAUAAAUUGUUGUAAUUUUAAUAUCCAAAUUUUAAGAAGAGACAACACGAUUUUUGUAAAUUACAAUUAUUCUUACGUUUGAAAAGAAAGUAUUGAAAAAUUGAAAUUUCAACUGGACUUUUUAGGAUAAUUGAUAUAUUCGCAAAAUUUAAUAAUUUAACAGUUAAAUCAUGUUUCUUUUUUUUUUUUAAAUUAAACGUAAAAUUAUUACGAUGUUAGAUUAGAUUUUCUGAUUAAUCAUUGUUUCUAUGCAUUUUUUCAAUGCUAUUCGAUUAAUGCACGAACGUACAAUUUUCCACAUGCUUCGUUAUUAAAUUUACGUAAGAGAUCUAAUUACAUUUACAUUAAUAUGCAAAUGAAUUAAUAUCAAAUAUAUAUUAAAUAUAAAAAUGUGAUAUUUAUAUAUAUAUAUAUUAAUUUACAAUUCCAAAUGGAAUUCAGGUAACAUUCGAUAUCAACAAUCCCUGAAUAUUGGGUAUUCGAUAUACAGGUCUUGAUAUUCAAUGUUAACAACUUUCAACUAGGUGGUAUUCGAUAGUAACAAUAUUUCAACCACGAUAAACAUUCAGACUACUCAAAUCAUUCUAUCGCAUAUAAACAAAUUACGAUUUUUAAUUCAGUUGCAACUGUUGUGAAAAUUAACUCAAUCUUCGAAUUCCAUAAAUACUCUUCCUCCGUGAGAUUUCGAUGUUUCUAUUCGGUGAAAAGUACUGUUACUUGCAAAAAAAAAGUAAAAAAAAAAAAAGAAAAAAAAAUUGUUCAACUUCACUGCCUCUCAUAAUUAUUCAUCAAAAGAGUACAACGAGUUGAAACGAUUCUUUCAAUUUCAAUAAUUAUUCCGAACAUUAAUUCUCUUCAAGCAUCUAUUAUUACAAUCUAAUUUUAUUUCAAUCUCGUAAAAAUUUUAAAACUAAUUAAUCCUAAUUAAAAUCAAAAUUUGUGACAUUUCGUUGAUUGAAUGAAAAUUAUAAAUUAUAAUCACUAUUGUGGUUUGAUAUUUAAUGUGUUAUUGGUUACGUUAAAUAUAUAAAAAUUAAUUAGAUUAGAUGAGAUAGUUUAUGCAAGGAUUAAUUCGAUUAAUAAAUUUUAAUCAAAAUGUAAUAAAUUUUUCAGCAUAAUGUUACGUUUCUUUUCGUGAAAUAGUGGGUAUAUUUUCACUUGGGAAAAAUACAUUCUUUCAUGCGAUUAUUAUCUUCUGCCCAAUUCAAGAGUUACGCUUCGAUAGAGUAGUCCGAUAAAUAUGACACAAUAACGUUCGUUCAUAUACGAAGAAUAUUUUAUUCUCUUUUUUUUUAAUCGAUUUAAUAUUUUCGCACAACUUUGCUUAUUAAUUCACACGGAAACGGAUGGAUUUUAAUCGACACGACAGACUGUUACGAAUUAUUUGGAAAAAAUUAUGACAGAUGGCGUUGAACGGAAGUCACGUGUUUUCGGCGGAUUAUUUAAAAUUUCAUUCGGUUUAA